AACUUUUGGCAACGGAUCUCUUGGCUCUCGCAUCGAUGAAGAACGCAGCGAAAUGCGAUAAGUAAUGUGAAUUGCAGAAUUCAGUGAAUCAUCCAAUCUUUGAACGCACCUUGCGCUCCUUGGUAUUCCUAGGAGCAUGCCUGUUUGAUUGUCAUCAACUUCUCAAACCCCUCAAAUUUAUAUAGAGACGCCUUUGGACUUGGAGUAUUGCUGGCUUCAUUUGUCAGCUCCUCUUAAAUUCAUUAGCUUGUACCUUGUGGAUAAGCGUUGGUUUGAUAAUAUCUAUUCCAUCGCUGUGAAACAAAUGUCAGCUACUAAACGAUUCAUAUCAUUAACCAUUUGACCUCAAAUCAGGUAGGACUCCCCGCUGAACUUAAGCAUAUCUAUAAGCGGAGGCG
rnacentral:misc_RNA from 1 species